GGAGUAUAAGGCCUGCUAGAUGAGAAGGAAUAAAAGGCCUCACCGGGUGAUUCGCGAACAUUUGACACUGCAGAAGGUCGGAGACACAGGUCUGGU
rnacentral:lncRNA from 1 species